ensembl:lncRNA
CACGUGACCUUCCUCUGCCCUGCCCCCAGAACACAGGUUCCCCGGUUGGGCAUGGGGCGGCUGGCCCACACGAAUCCAUUUCUAGUCACCUCCUCAUGUGUGGUGCAUUCCUGGAGGAAUUUUCUGGACUUGAAUGGCCACGAAUAGCUAACGGUCCUGCUCAGCACUUUGCCCUGUCACCAUCGGGGCUGGAUCUGGUGCUUCACUUCCACGUUCACACCCAUGGCUACUGCUUUGCUCCUAAUGACCCCUCUCCUGGUGACAUGAAUCUGUGGCCCCCGUGGCAUUCUGACAAUGUGAUGACCCUAAGCUGCUUCCUGCUCUGGCUCUGCCCAAGUCCAGCCUGGAGGCUCUCGGUAGCCCCAGUCAGUCCCACCUACCCAGUUGGCCUUAAGGACCUAAAGAAAUCGGUAUCCCCAACGUCUUCUAUCUGACAGAUGGAAAAACUGAGGUACAUGAAG